UUGCCGUAGGUGAACCUGCGGAAGGAUCAUUAAAAAUGAAGCCGGGAAACCGGUCCUUCUCACCCUUGAUUAUCUCAAUUUGUUGCUUUGGUGGGCCGCGCAAGCACCGGCUUCGGCUGGAUCGUGCCCGCCAGAGGACCACAACUCUGUAUUAUAUGUCGUCUGAGUACUAUAAAAUAGUUAAAACUUUCAACAACGGAUCUCUUGGUUCUG
rnacentral:misc_RNA from 1 species